CCCUUGGGAGUCGGGCUCCGCGAAAGAGUCCCCCUCCCCUCCCUUCUCUUCCCCUGCCUUGCUGCCCUCCAGCUGAGGCCCUUGGAGGAAGCAGAUGUGGGCCCCUUCGGGCUCGGUUGGAGUGAAGCCAGAGGCCUGGGGGCGCUUCGGGGGGCUGGGGCUGGGGCUGCGGUUAGCCCGCCAGGCCCCUGGCCUUCUGCGCCUGCGUCCCCCCUAGAGAGAAGUCAGAGCAAAUUCCAUUCCCUUUGGAGCAGCGCCGCUAGAGGCUGUGGGCACAGCUGGUGCUCUGUGUAUUUGGUGUCAUGGAUAAGAAAGAACAUACGAUAUUUGUCUUUUGGGGACUGGCUGCUUUCACUAAUCAUAAUGUUUUUCAACUGGAUCCAUUUAGCUGCAAAGGACAAGACUUCAUUCUUUUUUAUGUUCUGUCAGAUGUAUCCGGAGACUGUCCUGUGCGAGAUGCAAGUCUCUGUCCAUGGAUAUUGGGCCUCUAUCAUCGUCCCAGAUACUACACCUCGUCCUAGCACCCCAGUGAUGGAACCAGAGGGAUCCUGCACUCUUCCCCAACCAUCCUCUUCCCCAACCACCUGCCGGACAAGGGACAGGAGCUUGUCAACCUGGCACCCCCGGGGAGAGAUGAUUCCUGCUCAUGUGCCUGGGGAAACAGGAAAAGCGCUUCACCACUUGGACCCACCACUUGGAUGGAGACCUUGGACUCCUGGCUCCCGCCUGGCCAGCAUCUGGCUGAUGUGGUUAUUGGGAAAGAGAACUCAUAAAUAAAGAAUUUCCCCCUCCA